GUUCUCGUAGUGUAGUGGUUAUCACAUCCGCUUUACACGCGGAAGGUCCCAGGUUCGAACCCUGGCGGGAACA
rnacentral:tRNA from 1 species